rnacentral:rRNA from 2 species
UUUCCCUCAGGAUAGCUGGCACUCGCUCGAUAGCGAGUCUCAUCUGGUAAAGCGAAUGAUUAGAGGCCUUGGGGCCGAAACGACCUCAACCUAUUCUCAAACUUUAAAUGGGUGAGAUCUCUGGCUUGCUUGAACGUUGAAGCCAUGAGAUCGCGCCUCGUUGUGUAAAAACACGAGUGCGUCACGGAUCAGAGUGCCAAGUGGGCCAAUUUUGGUAAGCAGAACUGGCGCUGUGGGA